CAAAUACGAGAAUUUAAAUAAAGUGUAUCUUGGGUUUGUCUUUUCUUGGAUUUCAAAGGUGUAUAAUUUCCGUAUUCAGACCCUCCAUAUUUGUGUACAGAGGUCAUUCGUCCUUUAAAUUCUUUCUCCCUAAACUUGUGUUGGUCUCAUCAAUCCAUGAUUCUGGAAGGAUGGACUGUGUACUGAUUUAGGCUUUACUUUUUUCUUUUUUUCUUUUUUUGUGCUUGUCCUCGGAUUUCUAUCUCAUUCUUUUUGUGAGUUAAAAAUUAAAAUGGGGCACUAAUUCUACCUCCGAUUACGAAACCUAUCUCUUUUUCUACUACUCUUUAUUCUCUUGGAUCCUAUGACUAAAUUUGUUUGGUAAUUGUUUCUUGGGGUUGUUGCCUAAAUAUUGUAUGUGAUGGUUAUGGGUUGCAUUUGACAAAGAAUAGUGAGUGGCUACUCUUUCACUGUUAUUGUUACAACUUGUUUUUGAAGUGGUAGAACUUUUAAUGUUGUAGGUGAGGCAAUAGGAAUCCUUUGAUUUUCAAUUAACAUUCAAAGAAACUUCCAGAAUCCAGGAAAUUUAAAAAAUACUAAAUAUAUGAAAGUUGUGUGUGCAAGCUUGUAGAUGCCCAUUGACCAAUUAUUAUGGUAGACUAUGGCUGAUGGGGUCACAGUCACUUAUUUCUUGCCCGAAAAGGUCCUAAAUUUUUUUCUGCUAAUUAAAUGAUUUUUGUCUCGUGUCUUUCAGGCUUUAGAAUUCUACUGUAAAUAUUGCUAAAUCUAUUCAAUAGGGGGGUAUACCAUCAGUUGGUUCUGUUUCCCCAUCCUUAAUAGAGGCAGAUUCAAAUGAUCUGAUGCAUCAGGCUCAGAUAUUCCUGUAUGCAAAUGGAAACACUCAUCCUCCAACAGCAAUCAAUCUUAACAAGUCACUAUUAAGGGACUUGUUAUUCAACCAGAGUCCUGCCAAGAAUGUUUGCCCUGGCAUCUGUGUCAAUGAGGUCAAUCCCUUUUGCACCAGUUUUAGAGAAGCUCUCUCUUUCUGAGAUGAAGUAUGGCUCUGUUAGGCGGUUUUAUAUAGAAACUCUGAAAGAUAAUGCUAUAUCCACCACAGUACAGGAAAACAUGAUAAACAAAAGCCCACCCAAAUAGGUUUUUCAUCUUAAAGGUGCCGACCACUCCCCUUUUUUUCUCAAAACCCCAAGCUCUACAUAAGCUAUCGGUAGAGAUCUCAAAGAUCCCAUCAACUUAACAUCUGUUUGCUAGUAAAAAAAAUGUUUAGCACCCAAAUGUCUACUUGGGGAUUUUAAUUAAUUUAACAUGUUCAUAUCCAAGUUCAGAAUUCAAUUUUUCUGCACUAUGAGAAAAUCUUCACAAGAAAUGUUGUAGGGUUAUUUUAUUUUAUUCUUUUUUUUUUUGUUUAUAUAUUUGAUGUUUUAUGAUUCAAGGAAGGAUGUUCAUUAAGCCUAUGAAAAUGUUGAAUCGAACCUAUGAUUAAUUGGAUCCUACAAAUAGUGCAUAGAGAUAUGCAUAGGUAUAUUUGCUUGGGAUGAAAUUUUUUCCAUAGGCCUGUUGCCAAUUAAUUUUUUGAAUUUUUAAUUGAGAUUUUAUUUCAAUUUUUGGUUGGAAUAUAUUGCUUCCUUUCCUUUCAA